GAUGAACGCUGGCGGCGUGCCUAAUACAUGCAAGUCGAGCGAACGGACGAGAAGCUUGCUUCUCUGAUGUUAGCGGCGGACGGGUGAGUAACACGUGGAUAACCUACCUAUAAGACUGGGAUAACUUCGGGAAACCGGAGCUAAUACCGGAUAAUAUUUUGAACCGCAUGGUUCAAAAGUGAAAGACGGUCUUGCUGUCACUUAUAGAUGGAUCCGCGCUGCAUUAGCUAGUUGGUAAGGUAACGGCUUACCAAGGCAACGAUGCAUAGCCGACCUGAGAGGGUGAUCGGCCACACUGGAACUGAGACACGGUCCAGACUCCUACGGGGGGCAGCAGUAGGGAAUCUUCCGCAAUGGGCGAAAGCCUGACGGAGCAACGCCGCGUGAGUGAUGAAGGUCUUCGGAUCGUAAAACUCUGUUAUUAGGGAAGAACAUAUGUGUAAGUAACUGUGCACAUCUUGACGGUACCUAAUCAGAAAGCCACGGCUAACUACGUGCCAGCAGCCGCGGUAAUACGUAGGUGGCAAGCGUUAUCCGGAAUUAUUGGGCGUAAAGCGCGCGUAGGCGGUUUUUUAAGUCUGAUGUGAAAGCCCACGGCUCAACCGUGGAGGGUCAUUGGAAACUGGAAAACUUGAGUGCAGAAGAGGAAAGUGGAAUUCCAUGUGUAGCGGUGAAAUGCGCAGAGAUAUGGAGGAACACCAGUGGCGAAGGCGACUUUCUGGUCUGUAACUGACGCUGAUGUGCGAAAGCGUGGGGAUCAAACAGGAUUAGAUACCCUGGUAGUCCACGCCGUAAACGAUGAGUGCUAAGUGUUAGGGGGUUUCCGCCCCUUAGUGCUGCAGCUAACGCAUUAAGCACUCCGCCUGGGGAGUACGACCGCAAGGUUGAAACUCAAAGGAAUUGACGGGGACCCGCACAAGCGGUGGAGCAUGUGGUUUAAUUCGAAGCAACGCGAAGAACCUUACCAAAUCUUGACAUCCUUUGACAACUCUAGAGAUAGAGCCUUCCCCUUCGGGGGACAAAGUGACAGGUGGUGCAUGGUUGUCGUCAGCUCGUAUCGUGAGAUGUUGGGUUAAGUCCCGCAACGAGCGCAACCCUUAAGCUUAGUUGCCAUCAUUAAGUUGGGCACUCUAAGUUGACUGCCGGUGACAAACCGGAGGAAGGUGGGGAUGACGUCAAAUCAUCAUGCCCCUUAUGAUUUGGGCUACACACGUGCUACAAUGGACAAUACAAAGGGCAGCGAAACCGCGAGGUCAAGCAAAUCCCAUAAAGUUGUUCUCAGUUCGGAUUGUAGUCUGCAACUCGACUACAUGAAGCUGGAAUCGCUAGUAAUCGUAGAUCAGCAUGCUACGGUGAAUACGUUCCCGGGUCU
rnacentral:rRNA from 1 species